AAAGACAUCGCUUGCAGAAGAACCACGGCUAAUCCGGGCCAGCAGCCGCGGUUAUACGGAGAGUGCAAGCGUAAUCGGAAUAAUGGGAGUAAGCGCGCGUAGGUGGCUUGAUAAGCCGGUGUGAAAGCCCCGGGCUCAACCUGGGAACGGCAUCCGGAACUGUCAGGCUAGAGUGCAGGAGAGGAAGGUAGAAUUCCCGGUGUAGCGGUGAAAUGCGUAGAGAUCGGGAGGAAUACCAGUGGCGAAGGCGGCCUUCUGGACUGACACUGACACUGAGGUGCGAAAGCGUGGGUAGCAAACAGGAUUAGAUACCCUGGUAGUCCACGCCGUAAACGAUGUCGACCAGCCGUUGGGUGCCUAGAGCACUUUGUGGCGAAGUUAACGCGAUAAGUCGACCGCCUGGGGAGUACGGCCGCAAGGUUAAAACUCAAAUGAAUUGACGGGGGCCCGCACAAGCGGUGGAGCAUGUGGUUUAAUUCGAUGCAACGCGAAGAACCUUACCUACCCUUGACAUCUACAGAAGCCGGAAGAGAUUCUGGUGUGCCUUCGGGAACUGUAAGACAGGUGCUGCAUGGCUGUCGUCAGCUCGUGUUGUGAAAUGUUGGGUUAAGUCCCGUAACGAGCGCAACCCUUGUCCUUAUUUGCCAGCGAGUAAUGUCGGGAACUCUAAGGAGACUGCCGGUGACAAACCGGAGGAAGGUGGGGACGACGUCAAGUCAUCAUGGCCCUUACGGGUAGGGCUACACACGUGCUACAAUGGCCGGUACAAAGGGCUGCGAGCUCGCGAGAGUCAGCGAAUCCCUUAAAGCCGGUCUCAGUCCGGAUCGGAGUCUGCAACUCGACUCCGUGAAGUCGGAAUCGCUAGUAAUCGUGAAUCAGAAUGUCACGGUGAAUACGUUCCCGGGCCUUGUACACACCGCCCGUCACACCAUGGGAGUGGACUGCACCAGAAGUGGUUAGCCUAACGCAAGAGGGCGAUCAACCCACGGUUUGUCCAUG
rnacentral:rRNA from 1 species